rnacentral:tRNA from 1 species
GCUUAAGUAGUUUAAUUAAGAAUUGCAAUUUGUGGUAUUGCAGGUAUGUUUUUAUCUUAGGUU